UACGAAGGGGGGCUAGCGUUGCUCGGAAUCACUGGGCGUAAAGCGCACGUAGGCGGAUUGUUAAGUCAGGGGUGAAAUCCUGAGCUCAACUCCAGAACUGCCUUUGAUACUGACGGUCUCGAGUCCGGGAGAGGUGAGUGGGAACUGCGAGUGUAGAGGUGAAAUUCGUAGAUAUUCGCAAGAACACCAGUGGCGAAGGCGGCU
rnacentral:rRNA from 1 species